GCUGCCACUCACCAUCUGUAACAACACUGGGCAAUUUAUUUAACCUUUCUAACUCUGCUUUUCCAUUGUGGUGAAUCAUGAAUCAUUUCUGUUUUGAGAGACUGUUACAAACAUUAAUUGGGGUCACAUAUGUGAAAAAGUACUCACCCAGAGACUCAAGAGAUGUUAGGCCUUAUUGUUACUAUCGCAUGUGAGAAUCAGAUGGAUGCUGUAUUUUGUGUCUCGAAGAACAGAUUUGCCAGAAACACUGACAUGGAGACAGGACCUUUCCUCUCCACUGCUUAUUCCUCAAGUAGUUAUAAUCCUUUGUUUGUGACACCACAAUUAGUUGCCACUGGAGAGGAUUCUAAUGUCGUAAAUAGAAGAUUAGGACUUCAAGUGAGACGUAAAUGGGAGCAGUUUCUCAGUUGCUCUCCUCUCCUUCUAUUAAGCGUUCAUGAUCUUCCAGCAUGAAUUGUCAUAGAAGGUGAUAUGGCUACUGUCUGUCUUCUUGGGAUGCUUUCCCUUGGAACCUACCCAUCACGCCAUGGGGAGGGCCGAGCAAGCUGUGGAGGGGAACCCCAUCUCGGUGACAGCUGGCUCCCCGGGCAGCACACAUCUUCAGAGAGAUUUUAUUUAUCCAUGAGAGACACAGAGAGCGAGGCAGAGAGAGGCAGAGACAUAGGCA